UACGUAGGUGGCAAGCGUUGUCCGGAUUUACUGGGCGUAAAGAGCGCGCAGGCGGUCGUUCAAGUCGCGUGUGAAAGCCCCGGCUCAACUGGGGAGGGUCACGCGAUACUGAUCGACUCGAAGGCAGGAGAGGGUAGUGGAAUUCCCGGUGUAGUGGUGAAAUGCGUAGAUAAUCGGGAGGAACACCAGUGGCGAAGGCGACUACCUGGCCUGUUCUUGACGCUGAG
rnacentral:rRNA from 1 species